GGAAAUGUGCCCGAAAAGAAUAAGGACCACUUUGAUAGAGUGAAACAUGAGAGUUAAAAUCCCCCCAUUUCCU
rnacentral:tRNA from 1 species